AUACUUACCUGGCGCAGAGGUUAACCGUGAUCACCAAGGCGGUUCCUCCAAGGCGAGGCUCGUUCAUUGCACUUCGAAUGGGCUGACCCUUGCGAUUACCCCAAAUGUGGGUAACUCGAGCGCGUAAUUUAUGUUAGUGGGGGAUCUGCGUACGCGCUAAUCCCCU
rnacentral:snRNA from 1 species